ensembl:lncRNA
CGGGCUGGGAGAGACUCUGUACUCGGUCCCUGCCCUGUGGGUACGUGGUCAUGCAGCGGUGCAGGCAGCUGGUCUUCCACAGCUUGGGACAACACUGCUGUUCAACUGCUGAUGACAGAGCAGAGACCUGCAGUGCAUGACUUCUUAGGAAGCCUGUUCCCAUUUGGGAGCAAGAGGCUCCUGGUGCCCUUGGUACUGAGGGCCAUCGUUCUGUGAGUGACAGCGGGCAGAGCUGUGGCAUCCCAACUCCAGCCUACUUUCCAGCAAUACCACCACCUGGAAUUUGUGAAAUAAAUGCAGAAGAAAUGGCUGUAAAAUUGAAUUU